AACCAUGCCAUAACAGUGGAACUUGCAAACAGGUUGGAAGUGGUUAUAUUUGCAUAUGCCCACCAGGAUAUGCAGGAUUAAAAUGUGAAAAAGAGAUUGAUGAAUGCAAGUCAUCUCCCUGUCUCAACAAAGGGAUUUGCAAGGAUGGCUCUGCAGCAUUCAUUUGCCAGUGUCAGCCAGGCUACUCAGGCUUACUAUGUGAAGAAAAUAUAAAUGAAUGCAAUUCAAAUCCUUGUCUGAAUAAAGCAGUCUGUGUUGAUGAUAUU